AGAGGGAGCAAGCGUUGUUCGGAAUUACUGGGCGUAAAGGGCGCGUAGGCGGUCCAGCAAGUCUUGUGUGAAAUCCCCCGGCUCAACUGGGGAACUGCAUAGGAAACUGCUGGACUUGAGUUCGGGAGAGGGAAGCGGAAUUCCGGGUGUAGCGGUGAAAUGCGUAGAUAUCCGGAGGAACACCGGUGGCGAAGGCGGCUUCCUGGACCGACACUGACGCUGAGGCGCGAAAGCUAGGGUAGCAAACGGGAUUAGAUACCCCGGGUAGUCCUAGCUGUAAACGAUGAGUGCUGGGUGUUAGGGGUAUCCCACCCCCCCCCCGUAGUGUCGAAGCUAACGCAUUAAGCACUCCGCCUGGGGAGUACGGUCGCAAGGCUG
rnacentral:rRNA from 1 species